UACAGAGGUCUCAAGCGUUGUUCGGAUUCAUUGGGCGUAAAGGGUGCGUAGGUGGCGCCGUAAGUCGGGUGUGAAAUUUCGGAGCUUAACUCCGAAACUGCAUUCGAUACUGCGGUGCUUGAGGACUGGAGAGGAGAUGGAAUUCAUGGUGUAGCAGUGAAAUGCGUAGAGAUCAUGAGGAAGACCAGUGGCGAAGGCGGGUCUCUGGACAGUUCCUGACACUGAGGCACGAAGGCCAGGGGAGCAAACAGG
rnacentral:rRNA from 1 species